GCACUUCCGGGGCCCGCGUCCCCCGGCGGCUUCGCCGAGAAGGGGCUUUGGGAGCUUAAGGGCGCCGGCACGCGUUCCCCUGGCGCAGAGCUCGCUAGCCGGGGCGCGGGCUGCCUCCUUGUUCUGGUGUGAUCCGAAUGUAACGGAGCGGACUUUGGGAUCCAGAACCCCGGACUGAGGAUAUCCAGACAACUUGGAGCCAAGUCCCCACAGCUGGAUCAGACAACUUUUGGUGACAUCUCACAGUGUGGAUUAUCAAGCCAGUGUAUCAGUCUGGAGCCUAGGUUUUUUGCCUUUAGCUUUGCUCAGGAUGACUUCUGCUCUUCUAUGGCAAUACUUGAGAAGCUACAGCUUUGAUUAGACGAGAGGCUAUUUCAAUAACUUUCUCCUGAUAAGAAGACCACCGACCGUGGACGGAUUCUGGCCAGUUUACAAAGGCUGCAUACCAUAGGGCAGGGCACCCCACUAUGGCAAACACUAAUAAUGAUAUUGCUCCUGAUUUUGUUUCUGAAGGGAAUGCCUCUAAGAUUUCUUCAUUAAUUAUAAGAGACUGGGUCUCACUCUGUUGCCCAAGCUGGAGAACAGUGGCACCAUCAUAGCUCACUGCAGCCUUCAACUUCUGGGCUCAAGUGCUUCUCCCACCUCAGCCUCCCAAGUAGCUGGGACAACAGGUGAAAUUGAAGGCCAGCUUUUGGAACUCAACCUUCAAAGGAACUUAAAAUUUCCAUUAUGUAGAGUCCCUGAGGAAACUGGAUCCACUAGCUACACUGGCUGAGAAUGCUCUCACCCCAGGAUUUCAUUUUUAUUUUACCACAUCAUUGUUGGUAUCUUAAGAUCAAUGUACUGGAGCAGCGGGGUCUCACAAAGAGGAUACCUGGUGACACGCCCAGGCUUUCAGAAUGCACUAUAGGGCUUUAGUGACUUGUCCAGGUUCAGCUGAAAUGUGCCAUCUGGGACCUACUAAUGCUUGUUGAACUUUACUGGAUCUCAGAAGCUGGGUCUCAGAAGCUCAGAUGUUCCUCAGAGCUACGAUAUCAACAACCUGUGAUGACAGAGAGAAGGUUGCUCCAUGAUGGAUUUGGAAACUUACUGGCUAGCUAAACCUGACUGAAUGGGAAGGAAUGUGGAUAGCUUUGGAACUCUAGUUUCACUAGAUGAGCUGGAAUUUGUAUUUUGACAAAUUGCACGUUAUGAUUAUUAAGUAAUGCAACUGAUUUUUUUUUCCCUUAAAACAAACAAUCUAGAAUCUGUGUAAUCAAAAUAAUUUCUCUAAAAGGCUGCAAGUAUAUGCUUAAAGUGUUGGGGCAUUCAGAGCAUUUGGAACAUUACAUUCUUUUGAAUGUCAAUUGGUAGAUGAAAAUACCAGCUUUUAAGUCAUACAUUUGAUUUUUUGAAACAAUAUGCAUUUAGAGUUUGUAAGUCAAGUGAAUAACUGAUAAGGUAAAAAAAAGGGGGAGUUCAUUGUUGAGUAUGAAUUUAAAGUAACCAGACUGCCUUUUGUCCAGUGGCUGUCAGUAAUUUACUUCAGCAGGCAUUUUUUUUUUUUUGAGGCUGUUCUAUGAUAUCAUGACCCUUCUUGUAGGAAUGUGCUUCCAGUGGUGAGGCAGUCUGAGAAUGUGUGAAGCAGUAUAAUGAAGCCAGACCAAGAUGGAAGCUUGGCCUGGGAUUUGAGCAUCAGGAAAACUGUUGAAGGGUUAUGUAUACAUCACACACACACACACACACACACACACACACACACACACACACACACUCUCUUCCAUACUCCUAUAACAACGUAUAGUAUUUACUAUACCUGGUGACAGGUAUUUACUAUACAUUGUUGAAGAUCUAUAACAUGGAAUGCCUAGUGCUAAGUGCAGUGUCCUUAGUGAAAUUGUAUUGGUUUGGAAUUAUUUAUGAGUUUGGGAUUAUUUGUCACUACCCUUAAAUGAUCUUGACACUCACCUAUUUGAAAAGAUAUUGAGGAUUUGCCAUUUGAUAUUGACCAGGGUGUAUUGUGCACAAAUAUUGUGAAUAUACAUCUGUCUGUCCUUAAAUCACUGUAAGUUUUAACUGGAAUAGAUUUGCUCCACAUUACUCGGUAGGGCUGAUAUUUCAUGCCUCAUGGAUGAGAAAAGAAUAGGCAAAAAUUAUAUCUCGGGCUGCCUCACACAUCUUUUAACAGGAUAAGGGAAAAAUAAAUAUAAGACCUAUGAGUUAUGGCAUCAGGCUUGAACUUUAAUUUAUGAAUUAAACCAACAAUAUUAUUGAUUAUUGCAAUUAUCUAUCUUAAUUUCAUUUGUUCUCCUUUUAAAAAUUAAUUAUGUUUAUUUUACCUAUUGUGAAUAAAGUCACUCCUCCCAUGUGCUUA
rnacentral:lncRNA from 1 species